rnacentral:rRNA from 1 species
UCGAUUUGGAGUUUGUUGCCCUGAGUGAUGGGCUCCGAAGCUAACGCGAUAAAUCGACCGCCUGGGGAGUACGGCCGCAAGGUUAAAACUCAAAUGAAUUGACGGGGGCCCGCACAAGCGGUGGAGCAUGUGGUUUAAUUCGAUGCAACGCGAAGAACCUUACCUGGUCUUGACAUCCACAGAAUCUUGCAGAGAUGCGAGAGUGCCUUCGGGAACUGUGAGACAGGUGCUGCAUGGCUGUCGUCAGCUCGUGUUGUGAAAUGUUGGGUUAAGUCCCGCAACGAGCGCAACCCUUAUCCUUUGUUGCCAGCGGUUCGGCCGGGAACUCAAAGGAGACUGCCGUUGAUAAAGCGGAGGAAGGUGGGGACGACGUCAAGUCAUCAUGGCCCUUACGACCAGGGCUACACACGUGCUACAAUGGCGUAUACAAAGGGAGGCGACCUCGCGAGAGCAAGCGGACCUCAUAAAGUACGUCUAAGUCCGGAUUGGAGUCUGCAACUCGACUCCAUGAAGUCGGAAUC